GAGCAAUCGAGGAGGAGAAAGAAACUAUGUCCAAGUCGCACAAAGGAACCAGGGGAGAGAAACCACCAGCACCAAUGUCUGAGUAGACCGGAGAGAAUGGCCACGGAAGUGUCGGGGUCCAUCACUUAAAGGGAAGCCAACAGAUUCUCUUUGAUGUGAGAGGCCUGGUCAUGAGAAGAGGAGAUGUAAAAUGUAGUGAUUCAAUAAUUCUAAACAUUAUGCAGUACUCACCAUG